UAUCUCUGUAGAGUCUGCAUAUCAAUAAGCGGAGGAAAAGAAACUAACAAGGAUUCCCUUAGUAACGGCGAGUGAAGCGGGAAGAGCUCAAAUUUGAAAUCUUCAAGGUUCUACCUUGACGAAUUGUAGUUUAAAGAAGUGUUUUCUGUUAGAUGAGUAGCAAAAGUUCUCUGGAAUAGGGACAUCAUAGAGGGUGAGAAUCCCGUAUUUGGUCAUUCCUUCUAGCUUUGUGAUACACUUUCAAAGAGUCGGAUUGUUUGGGAAUGCAGUCCAAAAUGGGUGGUAAAUUUCAUCUAAAGCUAAAUAUUGGCGAGAGACCGAUAGCGAACAAGUACCGUGAGGGAAAGAUGAAAAGAGCUUUGAAAAGAGAGUUAAACAGUACGUGAAAUUGUCCAAAAGGGAAGCGUUUGACACCAGUGUUGUUUUUCCGAAAAUCAAUUACGAAUGGCUUGAUUUUGUGUUGUAUUGACCUUAUCAGCUUUCUUCACUUUUUUCGAGUCUUUCUUAAUGCACUUUUUCGGUUAACAAGUCAACAUCAAUUUCUUUUGUUGUAAAAGAGUAUUCGGAAGGUGGCUUUCUUUUCGGAGAAAGUGUUUAUAGCCCUAUACUUCUACAAUCGGAGAGAUUGAGGUCUGCAGCGUAGAUCCUUCGGGGUUAGAUACACUUGUGCUAAGUUGUAGCUUUUCAUAGACAACUUGUUGACUAUGUUUAGUCAUGCGGCUUACUCGCUUGUGCUAUUUUACCUACGCUUAGGAUGUUGACUGAUAUGUAGUCGUA
rnacentral:rRNA from 1 species